AUACCUUAGUUGUUUUGUAAGCAACCAUCCCCAUCACUGGUACAAAUUUCUUCAUCUAGUUGAGUACUGGUAUAACACGUCCUUCCACAUAGCUAUUGAAAUGACCCCUUUCAAAGCACUUUACGGCAGAGAUACACCCAGUAUUACCGAUUAUUUAGCCGGUUCUACCCAAGAACAAUCCCUUGAUGAAUCCUUGCAACAAGGAACACAUAUUUUUAGCAUGUUAAAGGAAAAUUUACAAAAAAGAAAAGUUCAAAUGGAGAAACAAGAUAAUACCAAAAGGAUUUAUUUUACCUUUCAACCAGGG